rnacentral:rRNA from 1 species
AUUGAACGCUGGCGGCAGGCCUAACACAUGCAAGUCGAACGGUAACAGGAAGCAGCUUGCUGCUUCGCUGACGAGUGGCGGACGGGUGAGUAAUGUCUGGGAAACUGCCUGAUGGAGGGGGAUAACUACUGGAAACGGUAGCUAAUACCGCAUACCGUCGCAAGACCAAAGAGGGGGACCUUAGGGCCUCUUGCCAUCGGCUGUGCCCAGAUGGGAUUAGCUAGUAGGUGGGGUAACGGCUCACCUAGGCGACGAUCCCUAGCUGGUCUGAGAGGAUGACCAGCCACACUGGAACUGAGACACGGUCCAGACUCCUACGGGAGGCAGCAGUGGGGAAUAUUGCACAAUGGGCGCAAGCCUGAUGCAGCCAUGCCGCGUGUAUGAAGAAGGCCUUCGGGUUGUAAAGUACUUUCAGCGGGGAGGAAGGGAGUAAAGUUAAUACCUUUGCUCAUUGACGUUACCCGCAGAAGAAGCACCGGCUAACUCCGUG